AGGGUUGUGCUGCAAAUGUUUGCAGCGAUGAUUUGCAGCAAACAGUCCGGGAAGCUCCCAUGAAGCCAUGUGAGGAUAAUUUCAUUCAGGAAAACUCCCGAAUGGCAAUUGAUCAACAAGAGUCUACCACGCUGUAUGAGGAUUUGGAUCUCGGCACUGCCCCAAUGGAUGGGGCACUGCCAGCUCAUUGCGAGUUGGCAAAGCCCAGCUGCGUCCUUGGGCCUCGAGAAGAGGUGGCAGGCAGCCAGGUAGCCAGCCAUGUGCCU